rnacentral:rRNA from 1 species
UUUGUAAAGCGGCGAACGGGUGAGGAAUACAUGGGUAACCUACCCUUGAGUGGGGAAUAACUAGCCGAAAGGUUAGCUAAUACCGCGUACGCUCCUUGGACUUCGGUUCAGGGAGGAAAGCGCUGCCGAGGGCAGCGCGCUCUUGGAUGGGCUCAUGUCCUAUCAGCUUGUUGGUGAGGUAACGGCUCACCAAGGCUUCGACGGGUAGCUGGUCUGAGAGGACGAUCAGCCACACUGGCACUGCGACACGGGCCAGACUCCUACGGGAGGCAGCAGUAAGGAAUAUUGCGCAAUGGGCGAAAGCCUGACGCAGCGACGCCGCGUGGGGGAUGAAGGUCUUCGGAUUGUAAACCCCUUUCGGGAGGGAAGAUGGAAUGGGGUAACCCAUUCGGACGGUACCUCCAGAAGCAGCCACGGCUAACUUCGUGCCAG